rnacentral:rRNA from 1 species
GGGCCCGCACAAGCAGCGGAGCAUGUUGUUUAAUUCGAUGCAACGCGAAGAACCUUACCAGGUCUUGACAUUGAUGUAAACCACCAGAGAUGGUGGGUCCCUUCGGGGGACUGAAAACAGGUGGUGCAUGGUUGUCGUCAGCUCGUGUCGUGAGAUGUUGGGUUAAGUCCCGCAACGAGCGCAACCCUUAUGAUCAGUUACUAACGGGUGAAGCCGAGGACUCUGAUGAGACUGCCGGGGACAACUCGGAGGAAGGUGGGGACGACGUCAAAUCAUCAUGCCCCUUAUGACCUGGGCUACAAACGUGCUACAAUGGCGACUACAAAGAGGAGCGAGCCCGUGAGGGUGAGCGGAUCUCAAAAAAGUCGUCCCAGUUCGGAUUGUGGGCUGCAACCCGCCCACAUGAAGUUGGAGUUGCUAGUAAUCGCGGAUCAGCAUGCCGCGGUGAAUACGUUCCCGGGCCUU